rnacentral:lncRNA from 1 species
GGCUGAGCGCGAGGAGGGUGGUGGGCCGGAGGUAAAGCUCAGAGCUCUCGUGAUUGGCUGGGGUCCUGGACGUUGAUAGGUCAGGGCGCCGGGGAGGACUGAGGAGAGGAGUUCGGUCGGGGUCGGGGCGUGCAAAGGCAGAAGACGCCCCGCCGCUUUCGGAGUCUGGCGCGGGGCACGCCGGGACGCCCCCGGGAAAGGGCGGAGCUGAGCGCCGGCUGCAGUCCGGACGGCAGCGUCACUGCGGGCGUGCGGAGCGAAGUUUCGCGGGCCUGCGCGGGAAGGGACCGUUAAAAUCUGGGGCCGCGCCCACCGGAAGCGACUGAAUGGCGAGGUCGCCUUGGUAACAGGCCUUUGGCUGGAAGGACCUUGAAGGCCACGUGAUUCGACUUACAGUGUGCGGUGGGAACUCUGACGCCCAGAGAGGGGUCUCACCAUGUAGUGCAAGCUGGCCUUGAACUCACUGUGUAGCCCAGGCUGGCCUUGGGCUUGGCAGCGAUCCUGCACCCUCAGCCUCCCACGUGCUGGGAUUAGGCACCACCACGCCCAGCAAAAGCCACUUAAUGCCUAUAAAGAAGAUUGUGCCUACAGUUAUUUGACUUCCCCAGAAGCAGGUACAUGGGCUCCAGAGAAAAGGCUGCAUUUCAGUCGUACUCUGGCAUCCCUGCUGUUUGAUCAUCUGAAAGCCACCUAAGCUUCGCAUGUGAGAGCUGGAAAGUCUGUGUCUAAAUACGAGCCCCUCAGGAAAGAUGCGAUCCCGAAGGUGCUAAGCUGUGCAGCCCCCAACCCCAGCCCUGGGAGUAGUCGCAGAGCCAAGGGACCAGAAGAGGAGGGGUUCAGCCCUGGCCUCACUGGCACCGAGGAAGCAUGGAGUGAGUGUGACACCCAGAGGACUGAGUCACCUGCUUGGGGACAGGGCAAACCGCACUGCUGUUUCCACACGACACUUCUUCCAAAAGAAUUUAGGCAAGUGAAAGCAUUCAGAGAAAAGCAGGAAGAUUUACUGCACUUUCCACUCCCAAAGCCCAGGACCUUCACACUGAGCUACAUUGCCAGCCCUUUUCAUUUACUUAGAGACAUCUCUCCAAGUUGCUGGCUUUGAUCCUCCUGUCUCAGCCUCCAGAGUGCUGGGAUUACAGAUGUGCACCCCGACACCCAACUUGCAGCACUUUUUGACUAUUUAUGGACUGGAAAACCAUUUGGAUGUCAAGCCCUCCCUGUCUGGGUGUAGCUUGACACCACUGCCACCCGGCUCCCUCUUUAUUGCUUCCUCAGUUUACUCGGCUCUCCAUGGGCUUGCUGCCUUGCUCCCAGAGUCUUGACAUGGUCACUUCUCUGUUUAACUCCUUGUGGACAUGACCACCUGCUCCGCAACCUAAGUCUGGGACAUGGCUCCGUGGUAGAGCCCUUUCCUAGUGAGCUUGAAGGCCCAGGUUUGGUCCCCAGUACCACAAAACAACAAAGACAGAAAUACAGUACUCCUCUGGUGGCAUGCAUAGUGGCACACACCUGCUGAGCAGGAGGAUCACUGAGUUCAAGGCCAUCUGGACUGCAUAGCGAGAACCUGUCUCCAAAAAUAAAAUAAAUACUAGAGAUAAUAAAGAGUUGAUCCACAUAAAUUUCUUAGAGUCAUGAAGGCUUAACUUUGUUUUUCAGUACUGGGGAUUGAACCCCAGGGCCUUUGCACUGAGCUACAUUACUGCUGUAAUUCUAGUUAGGGAUUAGAAAUGAUGCUGAGGAGGGCCGGGGAUUUAGCUCAGUGGUGCCACCACCUGCCUCACAAGCACAAGUUCCUGAAUUCAAUCCUCGGUACAAAAAAAAAAUAGAAAUGAUGCUGGGGGCUGAGGGUGUAGCUCAGUGGGAACACUUGCCCAGCAUGUGUGAGGCCCUGGUUUCCAUCCCCAGCACUGCAAAAAAAAAAUUACAGCUGGGAGUAGAUGUGGCUCUGUGGUUGAGCGUGUGCUCAUUGCAGCUGAGGCCCUGGGUUAAAUGUCUAGCAUACACAAAAAAUGCUGUCUGAAGUCAUCUCAUGUAGAAAAUACAAACUGCUAAGUACAAGUCAGCAGAGCUGAAAUUCCAGCACUCUGGGAGGCUGAGGCAGGAGUAUCACAAGUCAGCUCAACCUGGGCAACAGUUGAGAUCCUGUCUCAAAAAAAUAAA